GACGAACGCUGGCGGCGUGCUUAACACAUGCAAGUCGAACGGAAAGGCCCUGCUUUUGUGGGGUGCUCGAGUGGCGAACGGGUGAGUAACACGUGAGUAACCUGCCCUUGACUUUGGGAUAACUUCAGGAAACUGGGGCUAAUACCGGAUAGGAGCUCCUGCUGCAUGGUGGGGGUUGGAAAGUUUCGGCGGUUGGGGAUGGACUCGCGGCUUAUCAGCUUGGUGGUGGGGUAGUGGCUUAACAAGGCUUUGACGGGUAGCCGGCCUGGGGGGGUGACCGGCCACAUUGGGACUGAGAUACGGCCAAGACUCCUACGGGAGGCAGCAGUGGGGAAUAUUGCACAAUGGGCGGAAGCCUGAUGCAGCAACGCCGCGUGCGUGAUGACGGCCUUCGGGUUGUAAACCGCUUUCGCCUGUGACGAAGCGUGAGUGACGGUAAUGGGUAAAGAAGCACCGGCUAACUACGUG
rnacentral:rRNA from 1 species